ACCACUGGUGCGAUCCUGCC
rnacentral:miRNA from 1 species